rnacentral:tRNA from 1 species
UAGUACUAGUAGUACAUAGUAGUAUGUACUACUAGAACUAGUACUAGUAGUACACAGUAGUAUGUACUAAACGAACUAGUACUAGCC